rnacentral:lncRNA from 1 species
GUUAAACAGAUGCUUGAAGGCAGCAUGCUCGUUAAGAGUCAUCACCACUCCCUAAUCUUAAGUACCCAGGGACACAAACACUGCGGAAGGCCGCAGGGUCCUCUGCCUAGGAAAACCAGAGACCUUUGUUCACUUGUUUAUCUGCUGACCUUCCCUCCACUAUUGUCCUAUGACCCUGCCAAAUCCCCCUCUGCGAGAAACACCCAAGAAUGAUCAAUAAAAAUAAAAAAUAAAAAAUAAAAAAUAAAAAUAAAAAAAAAAAAAAAACAAACAAACAAACAAAAAAAACGGGGCUGGGUGCAGUGGCUCAGGCCUAUAAUCCUAGCACUUUGGGAGGCCGAGGUGGGUGGAUCGCCUGAGGUCAGGAGUUCGAGACCAGCCUGUCCAACAUAGCCAAACCCUGUCUCUACUAAAACUACAACAUUAGCUGGGCGUGGUGGUGGUGGGUGCCUGUAAUCUCCAGCUCAGGCAGGAGAAUCGCUUGAACCCUGGGGGCGGAGGUUGUGGUGAGCGGAGAUCAUGGCCAUUGCACUUCAGCCUGGGCGUAAGAGCAAAACUCUGUCUCAGGAAGAAAACAACAACCACAACAAAAAAUGCUACUUAUAUUAAUUUUGCCUCUGUUUGUUUGUUUGUUUCUCUCUCUCUCUCUUUCUUCUUAUUAUUUUUGGAGACAGAGCCUCACUCUGUCGCCCAGGCUGGAGUGCAGUGGUGCAAUCUUGGCUCACUGCAACCUCUGUCUCCCAUGUUCAAGCAAUUUUCAUGCCUCAGCCUCCCCAGUAUCUGGGAUUACAGGGUCACACCACUGUGCCCGGCUAAUUUUUGUAUUUUUUGUAGAGACAGGGUUUUCACCAUCAGGCCGGUCUUGAACUCCUGACCUCAACUGAUCACCCGCCUCAGCCUCCUAAAGUGCUAAGAUAGCCACGGUGCCUGGUUAGAAUAUAUUUUUUAAAUGUGCCUUAAAAUUUCUCAAUACAAAAAGGUUCAAUGAACAUUAUCUAGGAAAUAAAGAAUUAAAAAAAAUAAGAUUACUAGGUAGAAAAUAAACAUUUAAAUUCAUAGAAAGGGAUUGGAAGAUUAUAUACCAAACUUUUUUUUUCUUUUGAGACAAGGGCUCACUCUGUCGCCCAGGCUGGAUUGCAGUGGCACAAUCACAGCUAUAUAUGUGUAUAUAAUUUUCUAAGUAAAGAAAGUCCUGAAAUUUUAGGUUAAAAGGUGUAUUAGGGCCGGGCGCGGUGGCUCAUGCCUGUAAUUGCAGCAUUUUGGGAGGCUGAGGCGGGCAGGUCACUUGAGGUCAGGGGUUCGAGAUCAGCCUGGCCAACAUGAUGAAACCCCAUUUGUACUAAAAAUACAAAAAUUAGCCAGGCAUAGUGGCAGGUGCCUGUAAUCCCAGCUACUCGGGACGCUGAGGCAGGAGAAUCAUUUGAACCUGGGAGAUGGAGGUUGCAGUGAGCUGUGAUGGCACCACUGUGCUCUAGCCCGGGCAACAGAGCAAGACUGUCUCAAAAAAAAAAAAAAAAAAAAAAAAAAGGUAUAUUAGUCAGGGUUCUCCAGAGAAACAGAACCAACAGGAUAUUAUAAGAGAGAUUUAUUAUAGGAAUUGAUCGUUUCUCGGCCUUGUGGCUAAGAUCAAGUGUAGAUUUAUUAUGGGAAUUGGCUCAUGCAGUUAUGGAGGCCAAGAAGUCCCAGGAUCUGCCAUCUGCAAGCUGAAAAACCAGGAAAGCUGGUGGUAUAAUUCAGUCUGAAUCUGAAGACUGAGGACCAGAGGCACAAUGAUGUAAGUCCCAGUCUAAGCCCAAAAGCAAGAGCUAGGAGCACUGACCUCCAAGGGCAAGAGAAAAUGGAUGUCAGCCCAGAAAGAGCAGAUUCGCCCCUCUUCCACCUUUUGUCCACUCAACAGUGGAUGAUACCCACUGACAGGGAGGAUCUUUUUCUAAUUUUUUUUUUUUUUUCUGAGACAGAGUCUCACUCUCUCGCCCAGGCUGGAGUGCAGUGGUGCAAUCUCCGCUCACUGCAAGCUCUGCCUCCCGGGUUCACGCCGUUCUUCUGCCUCAGCCCCCUGAGUAGCUGGGACUACAGGCACCCGCCACCAUGCCCAGCUAAUUUUUUGUAUUUUUAGUAGAGAUGGGGUUUCACCGUGUUAGCCAGGAUGGUCUCGAUCUCCUGACCUCGCGAUCCACCUGGGAGGAUCUUUUUCACUCAAUCUACCAACUCACAAUGCUAAUUUGUUCUGGAAACAUCAUCACAGGACUACCCAGGAACACUGUUUUGCCAGCUAUCUGGACAUCCCUUAGCUCAGUCAAACUGACACAUAAAAUUAACCAUCACACGACCAUCCUUUUUGAACUUGUCAUCCAUACACAUCUCCUUAAACCAUACUUAAUCUCCACAUGAAGACACAAGGUUUUUUUGGGUUUUUUGGAAACCAGAUCUUGCUCUGUUGCCCAGGCUGGAGUGCUGCAGCCUCAAUCUCCUGGGCUCAGGCGAUCUUCCUGCCUCAGCCUCCUGAGUAGCUGGGACUACAGGUGCAUACCACCACACCCAGGCUGGAGUGCAGUGGCACGAUCUCGGCUCACUGCAACCUCCACCUCCUGAGUUCAAGUGAUUCUCAUGCCUCAGCCUCCUGAGCAGCUGGGACUACAGGCACACACCACCAUUCCUAGCUAAUUUUUGUAUUUUUUAGUAGAGAUGGGGUUUCACCAUGUUGGCCAGGCUGGUCUCGAACUCCUGACCUCAAGUGAUCCACUUGCCUUAGCCUUGUAAAGUGCUAGGAUUACAGGCGUGAGCCCCGUGCCCGGCCAACAUUUUUUUUAAGAGACUCUUUUUUACUCACUCUACCGACUCACAGCACUAAUUUCUUCUGGAAACACCAUCACAGGCCUACCCAGGAACACUGUUUUGCCGGCUAUCUGGACAUCUCCUUAUGUUGCCCAGGCUGGUCUUGAACACCUGGCCUCAAGUGACCCUCCCACCUCAGCCUCCCAAAGCGUUGGGAUUACAGGCAUGAGCCACUGCACCCUGCCAAGACACAAGGUUUUCAUUCCACUGAACGUGUUACAACCAUCUGGUGUACAACUGGAUUUCUGUCUUAGUCCCUUGGGGCUGCUAUAAUAAAAUAUCAUAAACUGUUUAUCUUAUUUACAAGAGAAAUUUAUUUCUCCCACUUCUGGAAGCUGGGAAAUCCAAGAUCAAGGUGCCGACAGAUUCAGUGUCUGGUGAGGGCCCACUUUCUGGUUCAUAGACAGCAUCUUUUUGCUGUAAUCUCACAUGCUGGAAGGAGCAAGGGACCUCUCUUGGGUCUCUUUUAUUAAAGGACACUAAUCCCAUUCAUGAGGGUACUGCCUUGGGGAAUGCACCACUCUUUCAACUUCAAUCAAGUAUCUCCUGAGUUUGAGUGCUUGUUUUCGAAAGCGUGGUAGAAGUUUAUUUUUCUCCUUGGUCCUCUAGUAGCCAGGUUACAGCUAGGUCAUCUUGACUGUACCAUCUGCAGAGAGGAAGACUCACCUUCGUUAGGAUAGAAGCACCAGUGUCUAACUAGACAAGGACUAUGGACUUAGAAUGACAUCGAAUUUCCAGACCAAAACAUUUACCAGAGCAUUAUGGUGUUCAAGGCAUUGUGGGGACCCUGAGGGGGUGUAUGGAGGACUAUGAAGCAAUCCCAGCCCCCACAGGAAGCUUGCAAUUAUUUUGGAUGAUAGCCAUCCAUACAAGAUUGUGUCUGGGAGUGGUGGCUUACGCCUGUAAUCCCAGCACUUUGGAAGGCCAAGGUGGGCAGAUCACCUGAAGUCAGGAGUUCGAGACCAGCCUGGCCAACAUGGUGAAACCCUGUUUCUACUAAAAACAGAAAAAAAUUAGCUGGGCAUGGUGGUGGGUGCCUGUAACCUCAGCUACUUGGGAGGGUGAGGCACGAGAAUCGCUUGAACCCAGGAGGCAGAGGUUGCAGUGAGCCAAGACCGUGCCAUUGCACUCCAGGCUGGGCAAUAAGAAAGAAACUCAGUCUGGAAAAAAAAAAAAAGACGUUUGCUUUGUCCCUAAAAAUUAGUGUCUAUGAAUUUUCUUACAUUGUUAUUUCUUCAUGUGUAAAUAUCCUAUCAGUGCAGCUAAAUCGUAAGCUCCAUGAGAACGCAGACGGUAGCCUGUGUUUCGGUGCGUAUUCCUACAUGGAAGCUCUGAGUUACGGUUAAAGAUGAGACUGAUUUAUACAGAUGAUAAUGCUCUCGAGUUUAACAUUGUCUCUGCAAUGAUCUAUGAGCAUAUUUGGAAAAGAAAUCGCAUCAGGGGCCAAUGGUUUAAAUAGGAGGAUUUCUGGGCACUGUCAGGAGGUGUUAUAGACAGACCUGGGUCAGUUGCAGAGCGGAGAGGAUGUCCUGUGUUCUUCCUUUUCCCUUUCUGGCUCCAAGCAAAUGGGCAGAACCAAAUGAGGCAGGAAGGCGAAAGGAAAACUUGGAUUCCACAGUGAGAGCUGGAGAUGUGCUCUGUCAGUGACUAACAUGAAACCACCCUCUCUCAGCAGGUUUAGGUCUGACCACGAAAGAAGCCUGGGCUCCCCAGGGUCACAUGUGAUGGCUGUUAACAGGACAACUGGCUAUGCCACUGUGAUAAUUGUAUCAUCCACUGAAUGGUUAAACUCCUUUGAAUACUCUCAGAAUUAAAGAGGAUAUGUGGUGGUGGAAAGUGACAAUUGGGGCUGUGUGGAGUCCUCGUGUGUCCCUUUCUUAUGCUUCCUUCCAAAGCUGCUACCCAUCUGAUGCCAAAUUCUAGAACCGGCCCUUGUUACAAAAGCAUGAACUUCAAACAAUUUUCUAGUCUAUACUCCUUGCUCCCAGGCAAGUUUUGCCUAAAUUACUCCCAAUCGUGACAUGAUUUAAAAUUUUUGCCCCCUUUUUUUUUUUUUUUGAAGACAGGGUGUCUACUCUGUCACCCAGGCUGGAGUGCAGUGGCACAAUCUCAGCUCACUACAACCUCCACCUCCUGGGCUCAACCAAUGCUCCUACCUCAGCCUCCCAAGUAUCGGGGACUACAGGCACACACCACCACACCCAGCUAAUUUUUGUAUUUUUUGUAGAGAUGGGGUUUCACCAUGUUGUCCAGGCUGGUCUCGAAUUCCUGGACUCAAGCGAUCUGACUGCCUCGGCCUCCCAAAGUGCUGGGAUUACAGGCGUGAGCCACCGCGCCGGGCCUGUAUGCCCUCAUUUAUACAAGUUUCCUCCCUGAAGAAAACUUGGAUCAGUUAGAUAAAUGGAUGAAGAAAAUACCACCCACAGUUCUCCCACCUCCAAACAACCAUUGUUAAUAUUUAAUGUAUUCCUCAUUUAUUUGUCUGUGCACAGUGUAUGUCUAUAAAACCACGAUUGUGAUGUAUAUCAUUUAAAUCAGUGUAAUAAGCACAGUUGCGUCUGUUUGUUAUUCUACAUCAGAACAUAUCCAGCUCCCCAUGUUAUGAAGUGGUUUUGAAAGCAUAAUUAUUUUCUUUCCAACUUUUAUUUAUUUAUUCAUUUAUUUGAGACAAAGUCCUGCUCUGUUG